UUCUUGUGACGUCUUUGACCCCUCUGGCCACUCUUCCACAGGACUCCCCCAGGCUCUGCCUGUUUGGCUGCAGGUCUCUGCGUCUGUUUCCAGUCACUGCCGUAUGACGCCUCUCAGGAGACAGUUAUGCAACAGCAGUCUUGUGACCUUCUUUCUCACGUAGACAGACAAUUAGACAGGCACAGUCAUUUGACAGUAAAGGACAUAUGAGGGGAUUCUUGGAAAAUAUCUGGAAGAAAUGGAUCGAAGGAGAAUUUUCAUGUGCACCGAUAAGAAAAUAGCAUUAGGAAAGAGACCCUAGACCAUCUUGUAGGUAGCGAAUUACUUUCGAGUGAAUGCAGCUGGAGUUGUAGAUGUAAUGGGAGUUCCAAGCUUACCACUAGGUGUGAGACUAAAGCAAGAACAGUGAAAACAGCUUCAAGUGAGAUACCCACAAGUUGCAGCAACAGCAGCCAAUCACGGGUAACUGGCAGUCCAGGUCAGUAACCAACAAAGCUGAAGGCAGAGGUAAGGCUCCCCUCUGGUGUGUUCACCCCCAUGGAUGUCCACACUGUUGUGUUGAUCUUCACUGUCACGAGACAAUGAACUCCAGAGCCACUGGGUUGAUCUCUCAUGGUGAGGAGUUCCUGGCGCCCUAGGCUCUGGGGUCAGGCACAGGACCUGCUGCAUUUAAAAUACCAGAAUCUCUAACAUGUAUGCAUUUGUGCUUUUGUGUAUAUAGGAGAGUAAUGCUGUCAAUUCCCCAAAUAGUUUAAAACAUCUUCUGGAAUCCCCUUAUUGUGAGUUUACCUUUUGUAUUCUUACUCCAUCUUCUGUGUUGAUUUAUCACUUUGAGCUCCGUUUCUUUUCUAUCUCAAUUUUUGCUAAUUAC